ensembl:miRNA
UUCCUGCCCUCGAGGAGCUCACAGUCUAGUAUGUGCCAUCCCCUACUAGACUGAAGCUCCUUGAGGACAGGGGUCGUCACACUCACCUC